ensembl:lncRNA
GUCUAAAGGUUCAGGUCACACAAGGGUGUUAAGUAGAAAACUAGCUUAACUCUAUGGUAGAUGGCUGCAAAUUGCUUAAAGUGGAGGGAAAUGAGGGAAAAUCCUCAUGUAAGGAAGCAGAGGUUUUGUCGAUGUGAAUUAAUGUGUGUGUACCACUACACCCUGUGAGAGGAUUUGAGAGCCCUUUAUCACCUUCCCAAACUGUUGAAGAAAAAUAAUGCCCCCUCUGUUAUUCUCAUCAUGGCUGUGGUGAGUGAGUCUAAGGGGAUAUCCUGUUGGAGAGCCCAGCGCAUUUAUCGUCCACACGGCGGUUUGGGGUGACUCAAGAUUUACAAAAUGUUCCACUGGCUUCCACUUACCUCUUUACAAUAUUACAAAUAUAGAGUAAUGGGCCUUACAUCCUCUGUUAUUUCACAAAACAUGAGGCUCUCAAAAUGGUGCCAGCUUUGGCCGAAUGGUAACUGAAGGCCCGUCGUGACAUCAGCAGGGUGUUCUCGUCAGUAAGAGGAACUGAGGGAUGUAGAUGCAUGCAGAGGUGACGCCUCCAACCACCUGAGACUUUUUACGAUCCUGAUGCGUUAAAUCAAGUUGAGAGAUCCCAUUUCAAUCACAAAACGGAAGUAAAGUGGCUUACUGACGCUGCUUCAUGUUGACUUUAAAGGAGAAGAGCUUGAGUACCACAUAAUGUUUCCAAGAAUGGCUAAAUAAUAUUUCCACAGGCAAAUUCUUCUAAGUGGAUGCACCCAAUGUGGGCAGAAGAUCCCUAAAUAGAAACUCUUAUGAAAGGCAACAUCGAAUAGUGGUUUGGGCCACAAAAUGACUGAUCUAUCAUACCACCUCAGACUUAAACGCUCGCACAGAUUUUCUGUUUUCACGUGCCAAAACUAUCAUAUAAAUGGACUUUUUCCAAACCCUUCCAAGGCAGCGUCAGGUAAACCUUUUUCCGCCAUAGAAAGAUGUUUAGGUGGCGUUUCAUACAAGCAGUCAGUCGUCUUUGAUGUUUAUUAAUCGUCAACCGAUUGCACCCGAGGGACUUCUGGUUCCUAGGGUCUCGCCGUCAAGGGCCCACAGUCUUGCGGUGCCUUAUGUCCGUUCCAUUUUAGGCAGUGGAAGCAUUAGAGAAGCAGGGUGCUGACAGUGGGCAUGCCAACACAGUCCUACAGCUUCCAUAAACAAAACCUUCGGAUUAGUCAGGCCGUAUUUAACUGGCAUCAGUGGAUCAUCAAAGUGAACGCCAAGGCAACACUAAAACAUAUGCAACGCUCCUUCAAUAAACCACCGAACGACUUAAGAAAGGCUCCCAAAUGUGCAGCAGAUGGCUUGUGGAAUUUCUAAACAAAGAGAUACCCAUCUAUUAUAUCGAAAGCGCUUUACGUUUUAUUUGGACCUCUGCUGUCUCUCAUCACUCUCGGAGCAUGACAGUAAUUAUAGCCAUCAAGGUGUUCCCUUGGAAACGUCGCGGCGCUGCUUAAUCUCAGAAGCCCCGGCUGACAUCACGGCGUAGUUUAUUUUAAAGUGGCUGAAGUAUGUAAUGGCUGUAAUUGCAGACAGACCAGAUUUACACAGACAACUGUCAGGAGGGCUAAUCCAUAAAUCAGCUUAACCAGUACUCUGAGAGUAAUGCUAUAACAAAACGGCACGGCGUACCAAAUUUUACUGGAGUAAAGCAAUUUGUUUAAUCGCUGCGUAAAUGCUGUGACGUGCCUUGGUCUGUGGUGAACUGUGACGAUCAGAGCAAUCAGAUGGUAUAGAGAUGUCAAAAGUAUGGUGCUUUGAUACCAAAUCAAUACUAAUGUUUAAAAAAUGAAUGCAUAUAUUAUAAAAGUAUGUGCUUUUAUAUGCAUCUGUCUAAAAGGAUGCAUAUAUCAUGCAUAUCAGUUCAACGUGCUUUGUGGUAAAAUGGCGGGGAAUUAGCAAUCUAAUGCACUUAUUGGUCAAAAAUGCCUGUAACAGAACAGUUGUUUUGACUUAUGUAAAUGUAAAUGGUUGGGACCAAAAAAAAAAAACAAAAAAAAAAAAAAACAGUGUAAAUGCUUAUUAUCAUUAAUUUUAAUGUUGUAAAUAUUCUGUUUGGUUGUUGUUGUUUUUUCUUCACAAAAAGGUUUAAUUUGUUAACAUUAGUUAAUUCAUUAGCUAACAUGAACGAUGAACGAUAUUUUGUGUAUAUAGCAUUUAAUAAUCUGGGU